CCGCUAGAUCUGGUGGUCCGGUCUCGAUUACCGUUGUCUUCGUUGUCCAAGAUGCACAUGCAUGAUGUUGAUGGAGCUCUUGAGGUUCUGCGUGGCAGAGUAGGCAGAGAAGACGAACCAUCGCCGUGGUAGCCAUUGUCGUCCCGGCCUUGCCAACUCGAGCCGUCAUGGUCAUCAGGGCCAUCCUCAACCUGAAGCAGUCGUGUCCCCUACGCUUUGCCACCGCCUCUCCCCUUCACCGAGUAGCCAUCGCCCCCACCCUUUGCUGCAAACCGGCCGCCACCCCUUCCCCGCCACUUAUUCUUCGCGAGGUGUGCACCGUAGGACGGCGAGGAGUUCGCGCAGUCCUGGGCCUCCUAGCCACCCCUUCCCCGUGCUGCAACAAACAUCAAGAGAGAGAAGGGAGAGGAGAGGAUAAUACGAUGCAACUGUUGGUUCAGUAGUAGGUUUUGCAGGUGGUGUUCAUUACUCCGCCAUUAAAAAAUCAAUUCUUAAUGGCAGGGUGUUAAGAGCACCACUCACAAAGAUAGAGGUAUUUUUACAAGCGGUGCUCUUAUUAAAAUCCCACCUGCAAAAAUUAUUUUUACUGGCAGGGCUAGGUUUUUAGACCACUCUUCCAUUUUCAGGGGCAAAGCUUUUUAGAUCCACCACUGGAAAUAAAACUCAAUUGUCAUAAAAAUCGCUUUUUGGUAGUGUCACUGCUACAAAACUCCUCAUAGGUAUCAACUCAUAGGUACCGCCAUCCUCUCCUCUCUCUCGCAACCGCUCCUCCCCGUCUGUAGUCGCACAUCCCCUCCUCCUUGUCAUCUCUCUCUCUCUCUCUCUCUCGCACAACCCUACCCCUCCCCCUUCGUCCCUCGCUCCCUCCCUCUUCUUCCCCCACCUGGCCGGGAGGCUGCCAACGGAGGAGAAAUAGGUCAAAGGAGGUACCUCUGCACCCAACGCUAGGGCGAGGCCGCGUCAGAGAUGAGUUGCCCAUCGGUGGAGUGAGGAGGAGGGGAGAAGGUGCCUAGGGUGAAUGGUGGUGGUGUUUAUGGUAGGGUGAGGGCGUGUUGAGCGGUCGGGCGGAGCAUGCCACUGGUGAGAAGUCGGAGGUGGCGUCGAUCACGACCACGACCACGGGGCCCGAGGGGAAGACGGUCAAGAAGUGUGCCAACGUGUCCGGCGAGCUCAGGCAUGCCAAGCGGGACAAGUGUGAGAAGGCGGGGCACGAUGGUAGGUGUGACGUACAGUAGCGGGGGCGGAGCAUAGCGGUCAGCGGCGCCGCAUGUUCUCCCGAUUUGUGUGUAAGGCAUCCCAAAUUUCUCCCGAUCUUGAUUGGUUCAUGUUUUUGGGAUAUAUUGGUUGGUGUUUCUAGGGAUGGAUUAGUUGAUUAUUGGUUAAAAUUUCUCGCCGAUAUAUGUCUAUUAUUGGUUGAUUGGUUGUUGUUGGAUGCAAAGAUGCUGCUCUUUUUAUAGGGAUGGAUUGGUUAACAGAUCCACCCGCGAAAUAUAUUUUUGCAUGUGGGUCUUUUAAGGAGCCGUACGAAAAAAAUGCAUGCCGGGUUUUGCAGGCACAACUAGUUACGAUGAUCCGCCUGCAACCUACGGGGGGCUCUUGUCCAGAAAAAUCAUUUUUUUAGUAGUGUGCAUAAUAUGAGAUGUUAGACCUAUGACAGUUUGAAGUCACUUUACAGCUCAAAGAAGGAUCUAAACGUUUCUAAAAAAAGGAAGCAUCUAAACAGAAUAUUGGACGAUAAAGACGCAUUUGCCAACUUUACUCAUAUAUUCUGUUGUUUUAAGCAUAUAUGCUGAUACGCGACUGGUUCCCUUCCACUCUACCUAUAUGCCAUACGUUUUUCUCCUUUGUACAAAUCUUCAGUUCACAAUUGCUUUUCAUACCUAGAUUUCAAAUAAUUUAAGUGAAACAUAUAAAACUUUUUAACUCCUCAAACUUUCAACUGAGAUCACAAACAUUAUACCAAAAUCUAAAACAUCUUUAUAUUCAAAAUCUUUAACUUCUUCCAAUUGAAUCUCUGAGUUUUUGCUCAAAUCUUGAACUUUCAACCGGUUGCAGAGCUCAUCACCGGAGAAGAUAUAAAGUAAGGGGGUGCAGAGAAAGAAGGCAAUGGUCGUCUCGCUAGGAAAAGGACCCCAAGAUUGCUACUAGCACAACUUGGGGAAGAAAGAAGGGCCUCGCACUUGCCGCAACUACAACAAAAGUUUUAUAUAAAGACACUUUUGUAGAGGCAUUUUGCAAAUUGCCUCUUAGAUCGGGAGUUUUAUAGUGUAGAGACAUUUUAUAGAGGCACUUUAAAAAUUUCCUAGAAAACUUUUACUCUAUGAACACUUUAGAAAUAUUUUCAGCACAUUUUAUUAGAUUUUAUCUUGUAGAGGCAUUCUUUCGGUACUUUAAACUGUGCCUGAUAUAUAAAGACAUUUUCUUGAGACAUUUUAAACUCUGUAAAGACACUUCUUACAAUAAAAAUAUAUACUAAAUGACUAAAUAUAAGUAACUCAAGGCAACAACAUAUAAGUAAUGACUUGGGGUUGAGUUGGUUAGUACCUUGAAGAUAAGAAUGAUUUGUGCAAUUGAUCAUAAGUUUCGAGGAUUGGCAAAAACAAGGGAAAAUAUUUUAUUGUUUUUUUCAUUGGUUUCAUAUGAUUGUGGUACAAUCUAAUGUCUCUAGAAAAUAUCUCUACCAUCUUAUAGACAUUUUGUAAAAUGUCUCUUCGUUUAUAGAGAUAAUUCACCAUAAGACACUUAUUAGACAUUUUUUUGAAUGCCUAUGUAAAGGUAUUUUUUGAAAAGUGUCUCUAUAGUAUUAGAAAAAUGUCUCUACAAAAUAUUUUUCUUGUAAUACGCCGUGUCACUAGGGAGGAGGAGGAAGGGUAGCUAUGGUGUCUUGCUAUGGUGAGGAACAGGAACAUGUGACGUGAUGGCUUGUGUAAAGGCACGAGGUGGUGUCAAGCCAUGCGAAGCAAGUAAGGAAGUGAUGAACUAAUGUACUUGACAGAUAGAGAGAAAAUAAGGUGUUUGCUAUUUCUGUUUGCACAUGGAUGUUCAUCAAAUAGGGGCUCUUUGGCAUAUGGGCCAAUAAGUACUUUCUAGAUAUAAGUUCUCAAUCAGCUUUCUUUAUGACAGAUGGCAAUUACAGUUUAGAAGAUGACAAAUACACAAUAUCAGUUGUAGUACAUGAACAAUGAUUAAAAUGAUUCAUGAUUAUGAUUGUAGAUAUUGUUUCGGCUAAUAGUACUUUAUCUGUUGUCUGAUUUUUGUAUGUCACCGAGGUGAGCGGCGCACCGAGCGGCCCAUGCACGCAUGCACUCGCUCAGUCACUCUUAGAUGCUGCCGGCCGUGCUAUGCGUACGCGAUCCUCACUUGGUUGUUAGAGUUUGUAUCGAAUAUAUAUACGUAGUCGGUUACAGUUUAAGACUUAGAGUUGUAUUAGGUGUAUGACUAGAGUAUGAGUCGGACUCUAUCCUAGGAUCUCUCAUGAAUAGAGGGGCGUGCCUGUUGUAACCGCAUGGCGACAUAGCAUAGCGAGAGGGAGCGGCUGCCGGCGACGACCGGUCGUGAGUCGUUGUAACUAUGAUACGCUGUAAUAUGCUGGAUCGGGGAGGAGCGUCCGUAAUCAGUGCCCUAGAGAUGUAGGCCUCGGCUGAACUCCGUUAUCAAAUAUCGUGCCUUGGUGUCGUCAUCGUGUUUAGAUCUCCUACGGUGUUUUCUUUCGCGUUUAGCUACCGAUGUCGAUUUCGGGGCUGGUUUUAUAACAAGUGGUAUCAGAGCCUACGGGAGAUCCAUGGUAGAGGUACGAGGGAGGUGCUCCACGCCGCGACGACUACACAGGGUGUCCAGGGACGGACAUGGAUGCAAGGUGGAGCACGGCGGCGAUCAACGGAAUUUGAUCGGUGGAAUCGGACACUUCAGGCGGCGGUUUGAACCGUUUGAUGGCUGCAAUCAACAAGGAGAUGACCAGACGUGGUGCUCGGGUUGAUGGCGGCGGAAGCGAUUGGCAAUCCAAUCGGUGGGUCGGACACUUCAAGCGGGUGGCUCGAACUUUCCGGUGAGCUACUCUCAACAGGGAGACGUGUGGCCACACGCUCGGGGUUGAUUGAAACUGGAGGCGAUCGGCGUUCUCGGUCGGUGGAAUCGAACACUCUUGGUGGGGUGGCCGGGGCCUUUCGAUGAGUUGCGUUCGACAGGGAGAUGGCUAGACAUAGCACUCGGGUUGUUCGGCGACUGGGAAGACGGCAUGUGAUUUGUCGGCUUCGGCUCGCGACUGGAUUGAGGGGUGGUCAAUUGGAAGUCGGAGCAGAUGGAUCCUUGGUGCUGAUGUGGAGGUGUUGAUAACGAGGCAGUGCGUGAUGGAUUGCUACAGUGACGACGUACGCACGACAAGCAUUGCAUUGUGGCAGGCACUGGUUAUUGAUCGGCGGCAUUCGCUGUCAAUGGAAUUGACCCGAAGUGUUUGGUGGCGGUGUAGGAAGUCGUGGAGGCGUACAUGAAGCUUGGAGAUGGUCAGGGCCGCGGCGGUGUGAGCGAUCCUCGCGUUGUGGUCAAGCCGGCGGCGUAGACCAAAGCGGCGUCAUUGGUAGCAGGCUCGGUUUGAGCGGUGAUUACGCGGUAUCUUUUCUGAUGGGGUUCGCGGCGCAGUAGCGGAUGCGGACUCGGAGUCCGGUCACAGCGCGUGCGGCACAAUUGUAGAAGACGAAGCCAAGUCGAACACGAGAAGAGGCGGCGAUGCGGACUCUGAUUUGAAGAAAUCGGAUGCAAUUGGCCUCAUGAAGUCAGCAAAGGAGUUCCAUGGGAUUGCUUUGCAAUCGAACAAAUCACCAAGGCAAAAGGAGAUCGGAUUGGGACCUCUUGGCGGCGGUGAUUUGGGACGACGAGCGUCGAGUGGUAGGAGCACGGCUUGGUGUAGUCGUCGUGCAGGUGCCGGCGAAGUUCGUCGGGCCAGCUCCGGUCGGAGGAGGCGGCAGCGGCACGCGCAGGAACAUCACACAAUAUAGAACGAGCAGAAGUUGUCUGGAACUCGUGCAAUGAGUCAUAGCCAGUCAUGUACAGGAGCAAAUCCAAAGUGCAUUGGUUAAAUUAAUUGCAUGUAUAUGCAAGGUAUCAAUUAUGAUGCAGGAGCUUGUUGGCUUGGUAAUCUUACGGUGGCUAUGAUGGGAAGGAUGCAUGAGACGUACAGAUAAAAGAAGUUUUUGCAUGGUGUGCAGGGCUACGGACUAAUCUACAGGCGACAGAGCGGCACUAGUGCAUUAGCACUCGGAUUAGUGCAUGUCGCGGGCGUGGUGGGCAGACGUGGUGGUGCAAGGUGCUAAGAUCAGGAGUGGGCCAAGAGAAGAGGCUGAUGGUGCGGAUAGAUGUUGGAGCGAGAUGAACACGGAGACUGGUAGGAGGGACUCCGAACCCGAGUCCAUGAUUUUUGCCAGCCGAGUCAGUGUCUGUGAUGGAUGCCGAGGCCGUGGAAAAGCAACAACACCUAGACAUUAGCACUUCGGGGAGCCCUUCGAUCAAUUGUGGCCAAGCUAUCAGUGCAAAAGGUGCAGCUCGGGUGUAGGUGUGUGACAACAAGCGUGCGUGAAGAACGUCCCGGGCAACAGCGGGUGAAAAUCGUUUGGCAGUACAGAAUAUAUCCAUAAUCUGCAGGGUUUGCAUGAUGGGGAUAUAUAGAAUCUGCGUCACUGAAGGAGAAGAGCAAGCGCUAUGGUGGUAAUUUCUUCGAAUGAUUCAAAGCAACGGUGAUUUUCUCAAAUUAUCAGGAAUUCAGUCUACGGAUGCGAAAAAGUGUGGAUGUUGGAUUUAUUAGCUCGGUUCAUAAGAUGAUAAGGAAGAAAGGGUUUUCUCCAUGUCUGGUGAGUUUGAUUUAUCUAUUUGGUUAUGACAUCGGUUAUCUAGCCAUGGAUUAUAUCAAGUCAUACUUAAGACGGUAGAUAGAGGUGAACAUGGUCUUCGAGAAGUCUAUGAUGUGACAGCUAGGAAGAAUUCAAUUCGCUUGGCAAGAUGACUGUGGUGAUAUGAGAGAAGGUGGAGCAUUGUUGCGGGUGGAGUCAGAAGGAAGAAAUUACAGGGAUACUGGAGUAUCUUGUUACGAUGAGCCUGGUGGAGGCUUGUCAGGGCGGCUCGGUGUGAGCGGCGAAAAAGGAUCAACUCAAGUCCUGGUACACUGAAAUUCGAGCAAGUAACGAAUUUGGAUUGGCGUGGCAUAUUCGCCAAGGUGGAGUUUGUUAGAGUUUGUGUCGAAUAUGUGUACGUAGUCGGUUAGAGUUUAGGACUUGGAGUUGUAUUAGGUGUAGGACUAGAGUAUGAGUCGGACUCUAUUCUAGGAUCUCUCAUAAAUAGAAGGGCGUGCCUGUUGUAACCGCAUGGCGACAUAGCAUAGCGAGAGGGAGCGGCUGCCGGCGGUGACCGGUCGUGAGUCGUUGUCACUCUGAUACGUUGUAAUAUGCUGGAUCGGGGAGGAGCGCCCGUAAUCAGUGCUUCGGAGAUGUAAGCCUCGGCUGAACUCCGUUAUCAAAUAUAGUGCCUUGGUGUCGUCAUCGUGUUUGGAUCUACUACGGUGUUUUCUUCCACAUUUAGCUACCGAUGUCGAUUUCGGUGCUGGUUUUAUAACAUUGGUUGCCUCUAUACAUCGGAUAUGUAUAUAGAGGAGUAACAAUCCUUGCUGUACCUGCAUUAAUAGAGCGGCACAGUUCUAUUACCCGCAACACAUGCAGCAUCGUCGUAUGCAUCAGGAAUAUAUAGCUUGUUCACGCCUGCAGGAUGGGCUUUUUAUGCUUUAGCAACAUGGAUUUCUCACGCGGAGGCGCCACAAUAGCUUCUCCUGACUACUGAGUGGGUACUGCGACAAGUAGGCGAGAUAGAUGCACGUACAGAGGUGACGAGUCACCCGACCAACUGCAAGCACCACAUGCACAAAUUUAGUCUGAAAGGAGGAAGUAGAGUCUUCACAAAGCAAUGUCGUUACUCUGCUAAAACCUGGUAGAUUUGAUUAAUUUUAUCAACCCAUGCAUUUUUCAUGCGAUGUUUGUAUUGUGCAUUUUUUUCACUAAAGCAUUUUCAAUGAAUUUUUUCACUGAUUCACCCAAAAUAGAUUUUAUUAUAAGUGAUAGGAAUAAUACAUAUAUAACUUAGAUAUCCAUGGAUAUUUUUUUUGAAAUAUUUUCAUGUUAUAUCUAGAUGACAUAGUAUAAUGAAUGUUAUUUUUAUAUAGGCAUAUUAUAGGAUAUAUAUAAGCUAUCAAGAUAUCUUUUAGAAUUGCAAAAUCUAAAUCGUGCGUGCUCUCGUUUCGUCUUAUAGCGCGACGCGUCUACCAGCCAUCCAUCCGUGCGAGUCAACAAGUAAUGUGCACACUAUUUUGUCUUUAUCCAGCGACGGAUGCAUUUAAGGUUGACAUUAAGUACUGUCACGGCGUGCGCCCUUUCACCUGCUACGUAUUGAGGCCACCACCAACCAACAAGAUUAGUUAUACUAGUCUAUCUUUCUUAUAGAACUUUUGAUGAUUUAUAUCUUUUAAACCACACAUUACUUUUAAAAUUCGUUUGAACCAUCCUACUACACUCAAAAUAUCGAAUAUAUUCAAAUAUUUAAAAGUAAUUUACUUAAAUUUUAGAAGUAACUUAGUUAUUCAAUAGAAAUAACUCUCCAUAGUAAUAGAACUAAUUACGUAGCAGGUCAGUUGUAAUAACUAUGUGAAGUAAAUUCACAAGUAAAAUGUACGAAGAUUUUUAAGUAAAUACAAAUAUUUUCUUUAUUUGAAGUAACCACUAUAUUUUUUUUUCAAAAAAUGUAAUUUUGCAACAUAUGGAAGGUAACUCUUCAAGGUAUUAGAAGUAAUACAUUGUUAGAGGGAAGAAAUUAUGAAAAACAGAAGUAACUCUUCAUGAUACUAGAAGCAACUAGACUGCUAGAGAGAAAUAACUCAAAAAAUAGAAGUAACUUUUCAUGGUAUUAGAAGUAACUUAAGUACCACUUGAUGCUAGAGGGAAGUAACUAAAAAAUAGAAGUAACUCUUCACAUUAUUAGAAGUAGCUAUACUACUAGAGAAAGGUAACUCUUCGCAGUAUUAGAAGUAACUAUGUUCUUAGAGGAGUUAAAAAUAAUGAUAAAAUUUAUGUCGAUUUGACAGUUUUAUGGUACAGUUUGUUUUGUUUAUAUGUCUUUUGCAUUAUUUGGCACAUGUUUAAAGGAUGUGGGAUAAUUUUGCAUGAUUCUAAAUAUAACUACUUAUAAUUACUUUUAGAUUUGAAUAAAUUACUUCUUAGAUAUUUAUGAAAGUAAAUUCAAUAAAGCCUGAAAAUAAUUCACACAAAUUAUAAAAGUAACUUAACACAAAAUAAAAGUAAGUUAUCAUGGUAUUAAAAUUUAAAGUAAAUCAGUUGUGGUGGUAAAAACAUGUGUCUAUCUAGAAAUUAAAUUGAAUCAACAUAAAUUAUAGAACUAACUAAAAACAACAAUAAAAGUAACAUAUUCACAAUAUUAUGAGAAUGUCUAAGAAGUAAUCUAAUCCAAUCUAAAAGUAAUUUAUAGAUACACAAAAGUAAUUUACUACACAUAUUCUUCUUCCAUUAAAAUAUAAUUAUGUGAGAUCUUGUUAUAAAAAUUAAGUUGCAAUGAACAUAAUGAUACAAUCUGAUUGUAUAUCAGAUUAGUAAUUUAAGAGAAAAUUUUAUUUGAAGUUUAGGUGUUAGGAAGUAGGUGGGCUCUUUGGCCAAGGCAACACAUGAAAUUGGUAGGUUGGAAAACUUCAAAAGCAUGAUCUGUUCAUGAGCGGUAUUAUUUUUAGAGAGUGAAAGGUGCAGUGGUACUAUUUUUUAGGGCCGUCUCUAGAAAUUUGGGGCCCUAGGGUGAAAUGCAAAUGCCCUAUAAUUUAAAAAGUUAUGUCUAAUAUAAAUAAAACAUAUUUUCGCUCAAUUAUAUAGAUGUAAUAUGUGUUGUAAUGUACAAUACAAGUAAUUUUAUUCAAACAUUGUAAUUUGAUUUAAUGGAUCAUUCAAAUUAUAAACUACAAUCAUGAACUCAUGGUAAUUUGAUGCAUAUUAUGAAUUUACAAUCUAUCAUAUAUGUACUCAAUCACUGUCUAAUCUUACCGGUCCGAGGUCAAGCUGUCAAGAGUCGAGUCGAGGAUGAUGAGCGGACGAGGAGGGGGAAGGCAGGAGCCGAGGCGAGGCAGCUGUUUUGCCGUCACCGUUGCCGCUCGGAGCCUCGGAAUCACAAGCAGCAAGUUGUGUCGCCGCCUCGCCAGUCACUGUGCAUGGAAUUGGGAUGGACGUCUCAGCAGUUGUCACGGCGCGGAAUCAGAAUCGCAGAGCAGCCAGCUAGCAGCAGGGCCAAGUUAGGCCAUCGCACAGUCCAAUAGUGCCCCACCCCUGGCAAUCUAGCAUGACCUUGCUGAUCGAUCUGCCUAAUUGGGCUAUUGGCAGUUGCAAGCUAUAGCUGGGCAAUUGGAAGUGGGCCUCAUGUUUAUAUGGGAAAAAAAUUGGAGGCCCUAUGCAAUCGCUUAUUUGGCACGUACCCAUCGACAUGCCUGCUAUUUUUAGUAACAAGGUCGCUGAUUAGGACAAUUCAGCGCACACCAUUUGAUAUAGUCUCCUCCUAUUAGAAUGUAUGCUAAUAAACAGAAGGCAUCAUUUACUCUUCUCUCUCUCUCUCUUAUCUACACUAGAAAAAAUAUCCGUGCGUUGCAACGGAAAGGUUAUUUUAAUCAUAUUAUUAUUUUUUAGAUAAGUUAAUCAUCUUAUUAUUAUACGGUUUAGUUAAGGUGAAAUUUACUAUGGGAAUUCACUUGGAUUUGUUUCUUUUACAAAAUUAUGAGCUGUAAUUAGAAGUUUGAUUAUCUCAAGUAAUUAUCAUGUAUGUUUUUUUAAAGAGAUUUCUUAUACGACUCUUUUUGUAUUUUCAAAAGCGAACGAACUUAAAAAAACGACUCAAACACAGAUCUGUAUUUCCAAAAGCGAGUGAUUUAAAAACCGACUCAAACACGAAUGACGUACCAAAACACCGGCAAAAAUAUCUUUAAUUUUUGUAAAAGUAAAGUGCAUAUGUGGUCCUUAAACUCGUAAGGUUGUGUCAUCUAGGUCUCCAAAGUCUCAAAAUACAGAUUCAGGUCCCAGAACUUGUCAAAGUGUAUCAUUUAGGUCCCAAAUCGAUAUAGCCCCUUUAGGAUCCUACGCGGCGCUGAUGUGUCACACCACAUGAACGUGACGUGUCAUUUUCUCUUUUUUCUUCUUCUUUUCUUUUUCUUUUUCUUUUUCCUUUUUGUUUUCUUGUCAUUCUUCGGUUUUUCUUUCCUUUCUUAUGCUCCGGUCGCAGAGAAAGGAGAAGAAAGAAAAAAAAAGGAGAAGAAAAAUAGAAGAACAGAAGAAAAAGGAAAAAGGAAAAUUUUUAAAUGGGUUCCGUUUGUCACGUUAUGUCCGUGUGGCAUGCCACAUCAGCGCCAUGUAGAAAGGGGCUGUGGUGAAUUGGGACUUAUAUGACACACUAUGACAAGUUCUAGAAUUUGGAUAUACAUUUUAAGAGUUUAAGGAUCUAGAUGACACACCAUUAUUAGUUUAAGGACUACCUGUGCACUUUACUCUUUUUAUAAUAGUAGGGAUAUACAAUUAAAAGAAUAUGUUUGAUAUUUUUUCUAAAUGAUAACGUCACGCCAUUGUUCAUAUCUAAAAUAAGAAGAUACAAAAUCAGAAAAGAAUACGAUCGAUCAUGGCUUGGAUUUGUUCUUGUAGUCGUAUCGCUGCGCAAGGUAGACGAACACGGCCACCUCCAGAGCGGCGAGCGCGGCGAGCAACCAGUAGAAGUAGUCCAGGUGCGCGCGGUUGAGGUCGUCGGCGAACCAGCUCUCUCCGCCGCCGCUCCUCGCCGCCGUCGCCCAGUCGAUCGCCGCCACGAGCGCGCCGCUGGCGUAGCUCCCGACGCCCAUCACGCCCUGGGACACGGCGAGCCCCACGCUGUGGAGCUCGCCGGCCACCUGGUCGUAGAAGAACUCCUCCAGCCCGAUCACGGCGAGCACCUCCGCGACGCCGAUCAGCACGUGCUGCGGCACCAGCCACCACACCCCCAUCGGCACCGUCGCGCCCGGCCGGUUGACCAGGCCGGCGUCGCGGGCCACGCGGAGCCGCCUCGCCUCGACGAGCGCCGCCACGGCCAUGGCGAGGCAGCCCGUCGCCAUGCCGGCGCCGAUGCGCUGGAGCAUUGUGAUGCCGCCGCCGCCGCCGGUGAGGCGCCUCGCGAGCGGCACCACCAUGCGGUCGUACACCGGCAGCACCGCGAUGUAGGUGAAGCUGACGAGGCACUGCAGCCCCGCCGACGGCAAGACGAGGCCGCCGCCGCCGCCGCUGCCGACGCGCCGAUCCAUUGUGCUGCUCUGCUUGGUGAACAGGGUGGACACCUGCGAGACGACGACGGCGAACACUAUGCUGCUCAGCCAGAUCGGAAGAAGCUUCACAAGGAAGAAUCCCCUGCCGCCAUCGCCAUGGCCAUCCACCACCACCACCACCUCCUCUUGUGGUUCUAGAAGCUGUUCGGCGGCAUCCUUUCGGUUUCGGGAGAAGAAGAAGAAGAACCUCGCCGUCCACGCACGACGCGCCGCGGCGGCGCCGUCGAUGGCAGGUCGCUCGGCGCGGCGGUACGUCCCCGUGCCGAGCAAGAAGACGGCGAGGUAGAGCACCAUGGUGGCCCAGCACGCGGCGAACCCGACGGUCCAGCCGACGUUCUCGUCGACGUAGCUGAGCAAGGUGGUGGAGAUGACGUAGCCCCAGGAUAUGGAGAAGUGGUACCAGUUGAAGUAUGAGCUCCGCGACGCAGGCCGCCGCGCGCCGCCGCCGCCGCCGCCAUCGUCGUCACCCUCUCUCUCGAACUGGUCGGCGCCGAACGCCUCGGCGCACGGCGUGUGGAAGCCCUGCGCCAGAGCUAGCAGGUAGAGCGCGGCGUAGAAGACGACGACGACGGCGCCGCCGGCGGACGACGACGGCGGCGACGUGGCUCGCUGCGCCGCCAUGGACGACGACGACGCCGUGAGCAUCCCCAAGCUGAGCAGGUAGAGCGCGCUGGCGACGAUGACGGCGCGGUACCGGCCGAGGCCGGAGGAGUCGGCGGCGAGGCCGCCGGCGAGCGUGAGCACCAGCACCGUCCCGCCCCAGGCGUUCGCCGCGGUGGCCGCCGCCGCCGUGGACAUGGCCAUCGGGCCGGUGAGGUACAGCAUCAGGUUGCCUUGCACGCCGAAGAACCCAAUCCGCUCCAAGAACCCGACGACUGCGCCAUGGCCAUGCAUGCACACGUCAGCAACAAAUUAAGCCUGGCUGAGAGAGAUGAUGUCAUCACUAAAGCCUGAGAAGCCGCCACUUACCGACGAGGAAGAAGGCGGCGCGCCAACCGCCGCGGCGGGCGUCGCCGUCGUCGGGGUCGGCGGCGGCGGCGCAUGGCUCGGGACGACGUGCAAGGAAGCCGCCGGACUCCAUGGCUAAUGGCGCAACGUGCAGCUGUGUCAAGAUUAUAUUUUAUCGUGCUAGCUGUGCACUGUGCAGCAUGGGCUAGUACAUUUCAAGGCCAGAAUAUCAGUAUUAGGCCUGGUUAACAAAAAAAACAUUACAUCCAAUCUUUAGAUAUAUACAUGAAGCAUUAAAUAUAGAUAAAAACAAAAUCUAAUUAAUUAAUUGUACAGUUUGCAUGAAAAUUGCGAGACAAAUCUUUUGAGCAUAAUUAGUCCAUGAUUAGCUAUAAGUGCUGCACUAAAUUAGGCUUAACAGAUUCGUCUCGCGGUUUUCAGACGAGUUAUGAAAUUAUUUUUUUUCAUUCGUGUAUUACCUUCUGACAUUCGGUCAAACGUCCGAUGUGACACUCAAAUAUUUUCUUUUCGCGAACUAGGCCUUAGCAAUGCUUCUUUUUCCUUUUUUCCUUUUACAAUAUGUCUAGAUCAGAAUACCAAUGAUGCCUAGAGCCGAGUGAAUAAGACAUAAAGAAAUAGUUAAUAUAUGUCACUGUAUUUAGCUAUCAGUACUGACAAGUACUACCACCACCUAAUAUCUGGAGUGGCUGUCUUUGUACUGAAAUUAGUUGGGCCCGCCACCAAGGGUCUACUCCUUCCGUCUCAAAAUAUAAGAAGUUUUGGUUAAAUGGAGUACAUUUUACUACUAUAAAUCUGGACUGUCUGUAGGGAUGGCAACGGGGCAGGGCGGGGCCGGGUUGGGCUGGAACGGCCCCGCUCCCGACCCCCGACUUCACCCCCUGCCCCCGCCCCCGGUCCCGACUGGAGAUGCGGGGCUAAAUCUAGCCCCGUCCCCGACCCCUCCGUGGCCCCGCACCCUGACUGGGGCCCGCAUUGAAUAAAAUCUCCAUCCCAUCAGCAUAAGAAAUACAAGACAGCUAUCAAUUCGGCAAGAACAAAAAUGGUACAAAAUUCACACACCAUCAAAAAUAGCAUAAUUGUACAUAAUUGACUCUCCGAACGGUGGCCGCGCCUGUGCGCCGUGCGGCUCGCCGGCCGCCGUGCCUGUCCCCUCGCGGCUCGCCGGCCACAGCGCUUCCCCUCGCGGCUCGCCGACCACAGCGCCUGUGCGUUGCGCCGACCGCCGCGCGGCUCGUCGGCCACCGUGCCCUGCGCACCGCCCGUGCGACGUGCGUCGUCGGCACUCGGUAGACCGGAGGGAGAGCGGGAGAGGGUAACCGGAGAGGGGAGAGGAGGGGAGGAAAGAGGAGGGGAGCUGGGGAUGGGAGAGGCCGAGAGGGCGACCGCCGUGCCCUGGCGACCUGCAUUGUGAAGCGCCGCCGCCGUCGCCUAUGUGUGAGACGGGAGGGGAGAUGGGGUUGGGGAGAGACUAGAGAGAGAGCUAGGGUUUUGUUUAUAUAUGUCACUAUUUUGUUGUAUUGGGUUCUAUUGGGCCUUUUAUGCGCUACAUUUUAAGAGUUUAAUAUACAUCCCCCGGGGCCCUGCGGGUGAAAUGUCUCUCCCGUCCCCUCCCCGCCCAAAUACAGGGCCCGGCCCCAACUCCCCGCAGGGGACCCGGCCCCGCGGGGGAAAUUGCCAUCCCUAACUGUCUUACUGUCUAGAUACAUAGGACUAGGAUCUGGACGGACCGAGUAUUUGAUAAGGCUUCAACUUCUAAAUUUUUCUUCAGGAUUUAUGUCUAGAGUGAAGUUGUGGAGCAUAAACUCAGCUCCAGCUCUCUAGUUCAUUUUCUAGAGUACUCCAGCCUAUUUCACUCCCUUUUUGACGGAGCUGAAACCGUUUGGCUGUGCUUCAUUGGAGCUGAGACCGUACCCUCACUUUAUUAAACUAGGAAAUGAAUUUUAAACUCCCAAUGGGAUAUUGUUAAAUAUUUUUUUUAAAUGUUAGCAGGAUAGACAAAUAUUUGAUAUAUUAUUUCACAAACAUACAAGUUAAAUUUGACUUCUACAUAUUACAUUAAAUAAAUAACACAUUAAAGUAUAGCUUAGUCAAAUUUGUCUUACAGUUAAAUUUAAAUUUACAUAUCGGUAGUGAUUUAUCAGAUAUUAAUUUAAAUUGUUUUAUUAUUAUUUGGAUGAUAUAUAAACAAUGAAUGAUGUGGUCUGAAAAGUUUAGAAUCAUCCCGUAUAAUUGACACGUGACUGACAUAUCCCAUCUGUUUUCUGAUCAUUUCAUUUACUGUUCACUGUUCAAUAAUUAUAACCAAACCAAACCGACCAUGAAUAGUUGCAUAGAUAUAGUUUAAAUCAAAAACUCAACCAAAGGACCGUAAAAACUCACACCAUCUCUCCACAAGGCAAAUUUAAAAAGUUGUGCUCCCGGUGACACGAUCGAGAGGGUGGUGAGCAGCGGACGAUCGAUUACUUCUCUUUCACGUACCAGAUACUUCCUCCGUUUUACCAUCUAAAUUAUUCUUAUAUUUUCCAUAUUUAUAUUGAUGUUAAUGAAUCUAGACAUCCGUAUAUCUGUAUAGAUUCAUUAACAUCAAUAUAAAUGUCAGAAAUGCUAGAAUAACUUACAUUAUAAAACGGAGGAAGUAACAUGAAAAAAAAUUCUCACAAUUUAUUAAAUAUAACUGGUAAAGAUUGUUCUAUAAUAAACACGCUCAAUGAUUUGAGAUGAGCUCUUCGACCUGUAUCACAAGAGAUCACGACCAGAAUAAGGGUGUGUUUGAAAAGGAGGGGAUCGAGAAGAUUGGAAAGAUACGUAAAACGAGGUGAGCCUUAGCACAUAAUUAAUUAAGUAUUAGCUAUUUUAAACUUCAAAAAUGGAUUAAUAUGAUUUUUUAAAGCAACUUUCCUACAUAAAUUUUUUGAAAAAAACAUACCGUUUAGUAGUUUAAGAAGCGUGCACGUGAAAAACGAAACAAUCUUUCUCUCUUUCUCCUGCGCUCGAAUGCAGCCUAAGAGUAGUAACACGUGGUUUCGGGAAUACAUAUACUAUUAUAUCACAUCACUGCUCACUCUCUGUCAUUACUGCUUGAUGUUAGAGGAUACGAACCCGCACAAAAGAUACGGGGACACGACGAACUCAAACCUGACAUAUCCUAUUAAUAAUUAAUUAUGAAUUAAUAUCGCCUGAGGGCAACUCAUUACCCACUCGACAAAAUCGAAAAGCACAAAACGAACUGUGAACUAAUUUAUUAGGUAAGGGCUAGACCAAUUAUGCAAGUCAUAUCAAUUCCAACCACCGAUCGACAUGCAACACAUCAAAAAAUAAUAAACCAGUAUAUAUAUAUAUAUAUAUAUAUACGGCUCUAAUGCUACUAAUUGCCUUGACUAAUUAAGCACCUCACAAAAAAAUAAUAAUAAACAGAUGCGGCUUCUUUGCUAUAAUUUCCGCACUAACGAUCUUUGCUAAUCAUACAUAUUUUUAAAAUAUGGGUGAUAUGAUCUUAAAUUGUUUAGUUAAUUACAAAUAGAAUAACAACGGAAACAAAAAAAAUCACAUGUUGUUGCCUUAAGUUUAUGGGUCCAUGGAAUUUUUUAUUUUUAUACAUAUAUACGAGGUUUGUAUGUAUACUUACCGAGUUUUUUUUAACAACGUAGUCACUCACAGCACACGCACACUCACCCCUAUGAACGCACGCACGUAAACCCUACCCCUAUGAGCAUCUUUGAAUACUGGGCCGGCAAAUCCUUAAGAUUGACGAAGUUACCAAGUUACCACAGGCGCCUCGCUGUCGACGGAUAAAUCCUAGAAAAUUCGCUCUGUACACAUACAUAUAAAUCUUUUUUACAUUUAAAGUGUAUACAUACUUAUAUAAAGUUUAUACAUAUGCAAAGAUUUUUAUAAGUGUAUAUACAAAGUUUAUAUUGUAUAUUAAUGUAAAGUUCAAAUCACCCUCUACAUUAUGCAGUAGUACAAUUUACCCUUUCGUAGCCCAGUCGUCUUCAUCGGCGUCGUCGCACUCUAGCUAUGCUAGUACGUAGUAGGAGCGGAUCUACAGUUAAAGGGCUCUAGCUAUGCUAGUACGUAGUAGGGGUGGAUCUACAGUAAAAAGACCGGUGUUAAGUAAUACCGAUGACUUUAUGUUAGAGUUCGCAGCUCGGCCCACCAACCGUGGACCACCCAGAUCACAUUGGGCUUGCUCCACCCCAGAUUCAACCGGAGCCACAAUUUUAGGUCCUGGACCUACACAACCCAACAGACUAGUCUCUUGGGUGAGGAUUGCUCCCACCUUUUAAGUCAUACUCCCCAUCAUCAAUUACCGAUCACUGGUGGAGAAACCAUCUUUGGUCGGUCGGCCGAAAUCCACAAUAGUCUCGGUUCCACUAAAAACCGGUUCAAAAGAUGAUCUUUAGUCCCGGUUCAAAAGGUUAGAGCUACUUUUUGAUCUUUAGUCCCGGUUGGUAACAUCAACCGGGACUAAAGAUUAUUUUUAGUCCCGGUUUAAAAGACGGCAGGUGGUGUCAGACCCCUCUUUAUCUUUAGUCACGGUUGGUGACACCAACCGGGAGGUGUGUGUAAAUAAAAUAACUUAUUAAUAAAAUAAGAUAAAAUAAAAUAACUUAUAAAACAAAAUAAGUUAUUUAAAAUAACUUAUUUAAAUAAAAUAAGUUAUUAACUUAUUUUACACCAACCUAACACCAAUCGACAUGCACCGUGCGAGAUCGAGAGGACCAAGGCGCACGGGAGGAUCAGUUAAUAAGUUCUGACAUUUAUCUCCUUCUCUCCUCACUCACCCCAUCUCUUCCUCUUCCUCCUCCUCCCAUCUCUUCCUCUUCCUCUUUCUCCUCCCAUCUCUUCCUCUACCUCCUCUGGAUCCGCCUCCUUCCCUCUCCUCCCCACUUCUCAACCUCCUCUGGAUCCGCCCCCUCCCGUCUCUUCCCCACUUCUCAGGCGGCGGCGGCCGGGCGGCCGCGGAGGCGGCCUCGCGCGGCCGGGAAGCGCGGAGGCGCCCUCACGCAGCGGCCAGGCGGCGACGGAGGUGGCCUCGCGUGCCCUCACGCAGUGGCCGGGCGGCGAGGCACAGCGCGCGGCGGGCGGUGGGGUAGCGCGCGGCGCGCGCGGCGGGGACGCGCCGGCUCUCCUUUCUUUUUUUUUUUAUAAUUUGUGAUUGAGAGAUGUAUAAUUUCUUUUUUAGAAUUUGUGAUUCAUUGCAUGGAUCUGAGAUGUAUAAUCGAUCUGUGAUGCAUUUGAUUUGUGUGUAAUUUUUUUAAGAUUUGUGAUGUAUUUGAUUUGUGUGUAAGUAACUUAGGAUUUGUAUUUGUGAUGUGAAUGAUUUGUGAUGUUACUUUGAAUUUGGAGAUUUGGGGUUUGAUUUAGGUAUAUGCAUGACACUCGAUUUGGGGAUUUGUUGUUUGAUCUGGGUAUAUACAUCCCACUUGGGAGAAAAUAAAAAGAAAAUAGACCAACCGGGACUGCCCCUAUCCUCUCUUUAGUCCCGGUUGGUAGCAUUAACCGGGACUAAAGAUCCCUCUCUUUAUAUCGAUCUUUACUCCUGGUUAUUUCACCCGGGACUAAAGAUAGCGAUCUUUAGUCCCGGAUUCGUAGUCCCAGUUUUCCACCAGUGGAUGUGGGACUAAACCCAACACUUUUGGUAAAACCUAUAGUGAAACUCUUUAUCCAUAUGUUAUAACAUUAUGAUCUAAGCAUAAUUAGCAUAUUAAGACAUCGAUAGAUAUGUUAUAUGACACCAACGAAUCGAUUUUCUGGAUCCGCCACUGGCACGUAGCAUUGCAACGAGCUUUACCAAUGAAGAAGAAGAAGAUUUAUGAUGAUGACUAGCAUGCAUGCAAGUAGUUGAUUUAAUUAGCUGCUAUGUCCGUCUUGUGCUUUUUUCUUCACGACGACUGUCUCUGUCCGAAUCCGUCUCGUGCAUGCUCCCCGUGUGAUUGAGGCAUGCGACGCCGGAGACGCCAUCGUGGCCAGCCGUCGCCUGGGGAUUACCUCCUUGUCGGCUAUAUAUCGCGUAGUCACCGCUGCCUCGUCUUCCCAUCCUGGGUUCCUGUACUGGCAGCUGUGGCUUGCAAAUUACUCCCUCUGUUCUAAAUAUUUUACACCGUUGAUUUUUUAACACAUAGUGGAUCGUUCAUCUUAUUCAAAAACUUUUGUGAAAUAUGUAAAACUAUAUGUAUCCAUAUAAGUAUAUUUAACAAUGAAUCAAAUGAUAGGAAAAGAAUUAAUAAUUACUUAAAUUUUUUUUAAUAAGAUGAAUGGUUAAACAUAUUUAAAAAAGUCAAUGGCAUCGAAUAUUUAGAAACGGAGGAAGUAACGGUCAGAUAUCUAGCCUCCUCUGUCCCGGCAUAGAGAGAGGUGGCAGCUACCUCGCCGCCGCAACGGGAGCACUGCCUUCGUUAUUGCUGAAGCCUUGGUGAGGUGGAAUCGUCCUGCUCCUCUAGCUUCUACUCCCGCCCGCACUCGCGGCCCCAAUUAUCGUCCGUUGAGGCUGAGGAUAAACACGCAUCACUGACAAUUGGGCCUCACCGAUUUUUUAUUUGUAUUUACUGACUAGAUUGCAACUUGUACACGUAGGUCGAAAACCACUCUCGAAUGAGUUAGGAGAUAAUUCGUUUAGAGUUAAGAGUUCAGGGUGUGAAAUAUUGGUAUUUUAAUUAGUUUAGGGGGUAAAUCGUACGACAUAAGUUUAGAGAGGCAACUUGAACUUUCACCUUCUUUAUAUAAUAUAUGUAUAAAUUUUAUAUAUACACAUCUACGUAUAGGGCAGAAAGAUGACCGUGCACUCGCUUGUGGUGCCACGCAAGGGAGGGGGACGAUAGGUGGGUCCCAACAUGUGAGUGAGGCUUGAUCGGGUUUGAAGGGUAGUAUCGUACUUUCAUAACUGUUUCACUCUUAAAUUUAUUCGGAUAUAAUAAAAUAAUAUUACGGGUGUCUAGUAAAUAAUUACUACUUUUUUGCAGUGCCCUAGCACAGAAACGUGUUCUUGCGGUGUCCCCUAGAUAGUUACAUUUUUUUUAUAUCAUGUAGCAAAUUUUGCACAUAUUAGUUUGAGCUAUUGACUUAGAAGAAAGAUUUAUUGGUUGAAAUCGAUGGUUAGAUUUGUUUCGUCAAAAUUUAUAGUAGUUUUUUCUAGUUUAUUAGAGGGACUCUCGCCCAGCAUGACCCUGUCGACCCCUGAUCCAGAUCAAUACACAGGACAUUAUACAACAAGAGAUAUUUGCCAGUAAUUAGACUUGCAUACUUGAAUGUUAAUUAUUAUCACGUACUGCAUUGUUAAAAUCAACAUCAAUUCAGCGCAUGCAAAGCACAUUCCCAAAUGCCGUAAACACGCAAGAAGCCAUGAACACGCACGCGUGGCUUUGCAUCCAUUAAUUUCUCCGAUAAAUGAAAUGCACGCCAGUAGUUGCGAGAUACAGUAGCUACAUCAUCAACUUAUUUGGUGGAAAUGGAGAUCGAGCAGUGAACUCGAUCGAUCGAUCAGUGGCUCCCCGGGGGACGGUAGAUCGGAGUCGGCGAUGGCGUGCCGUACGCCGGCGAGACAGGGGGCCAGAAAGGCGACGGCGAUCCGUAUCCCGGCGCCGUGGGAGGUGGGCAUGCCGUCGCCGGCGUUCCGUAUUCCGGCGUGGAUGGUGGGCACUCCGGCGCCGGCGUUCCGUAUGCCGGCGUGGAAGGAGGAUAUUCCGGCGCCGGCUGGCCGCAUUCCGGUGCCGGCGUGGGAGGAGGAGGGCACUCCGGCGCUGGCUGGCCGUAACCCGGGUCGGCAGGGGGGCAUUCCGGCGCCGGCUGGCCGUAUCCCGGCGGCGUGCUGGGAGGGGAGCAUGAGCAUCCCGGCGCCGGCGUGCCGUACACCGGCGAGGGAGGCGGCUGGUACUCCGGCAUGGGCUUCCUGUGGAACAUGCGAUGGCGCCUGUGGCAGGGGAAGCAGAUGGCCACCGACGAGCACUCCGGCGAGGACGACGUCGACGACGGGAGGUGCGUCUUGCCGGCGACGGCGACGAAGGUGCCCGUCUCGCCCUCCGACGACAGCGGCUCGAUCUUGGAUGGCUCCUGGCCGGGGCACGGCGCGUCGGUCGCCGCGCUGUGCAGCUGCGCGACGCAGUCGGCGCCGCGGAGGUCGGCGGCGAGCGGCACGGCGAACGCGCCCGCGCCGUCGAGCUCGCCGACGGCCUUGCUCUCGUACUCCUCGCUGCUGCCGUUCUUGCACUUGAUCGCCACCUUAAGUCCUGUCAACAAAAUGAACAAAAAUAAACACAACAUUUUUGUGCAUUUAAUAGUUGCUUUGAUUGGUGAUCAUGCAAAUGCACAGUUAGAUGACACAGUUUCUUUUAAUCAAAGCGAAUCGGUUACAGUGACUGAUCCAAGAAUUUUCUUGAGCCUAGGUAAAGCAUAAUCCUAUGGCCUGCUAGUAAGUUUUUGGCCCAAGCAAUAUCAUCUGUGAUAACAGGCCCACACAUGUCAAUAGGUGUCUGUUACAACAUCUGUCGUUAUGGUAGAGGAUGUGCGCACUUUUAGAUCUAAACAUAACAAUGUUUAUAUAAUCGACUCGAUGGUUAUUUUGUACCCAAAUAUCGCGUAUAUUCUACUUUUAAUUUAUGAGAGGUGUCAAUUGUAAUCUUUGUCAAAUACCACUGUCCCAUCAUCAAGAGUGUACUCCGUAUAUACUCCCUCCGUUUCGAAAUGUUUGACGCCGUUGACUUUUUAUCACAUGUUUGACUAUUCGUCUUAUUCAAAAAAUUAAGUAAUUAUUAAUUCUUUUCCUAUCAUUUGAUUCUCAUAUAAUUUUACAUAUCUCACAAAAGUUUUUGAAUAAGACGAACGGUUAAACAUGUGCUAAAAAGUCAACGGUGUACAUGUGCUAAAAAGUCAACGGUGUCAAACAUUUCGAAACGGAGCGAGUAGUUGCUUGCAUUCGUACUUACCCUUGAAAGCGGUCUCGGCGUCCAUGUUCUUCCUGCCGCAGCCGGCGCACUUGGCCGCGCCGACGACGACCGACGCCGUCGCCGUCGUCUCACCGGCGGCCGCCGCCGCCAUCAGUAUCAUCAGCGCCGCGCCAUGGAGGAGCAGCCAGCUUGCUCCCAUGGCGAAGCUACAGUUGUGUGUGGCUCUCAAUAGUAGUUGCACUGUUUGCAGGUGAAGAGCAAGGGCGUCCAAUGAACUGCUUAUAUAGGCGAUCAUUGCAUAUAUAAUUGCAUUACUGGAUGUUAAUAAUUCAGCACUGAUUAUUUAUUUUAUCUAUUUAUUUACAGCUCGAUCGAUAUGAUGAUCCAUGGAGUUAAGAUGUGCCACGAAAAGAGUUAAUGUCAAACGUACGUAUAGCGUAGGAGUGCUACAGUAAGCUACAUUUUGUUUAGUUAAUUUACCAGCGAAUUAAAUCUCACUGGCAGUGAUGAAAUGGUAGAUAGUAUAGAGUAUAGAGUAUAAAUAUACGUAUGCAUACUAGUAGUAUGUACUUUGGCUAUGUAUAAUUAAAUGCCGGCUCAAUUCAAUAUGUUGUCGCCGUUGUCAUGAUCUCUUAUAUCGUGAGCUACGCUUCUAUGUAAUAAGUAGAACUCUAGUUCUAGUUUGUGUUCAUCUCAGUUUCGGGGGAAAAUCCAGCAGUACCCACUAUACAUAUAAAAAUCUCAUCGGGAGAAAUUCAAAUUGUUAAAAAAUAUUUCCCGAAAUUGAAGCAGUUCAAAAGAGCUUUAAUAGUUCCAAGAAAUUUUAGUUGUCACUACAUUGUUGAUUAUAAGCUGUAACGGUUUACCAACAAACAAAAAUAAUUUAUAAAUAAAACUUAUAUAUAUAUAUAUAUAUAUAUAUAUAUAUAGAUAUACAUUCUUAGCUGUUUAAAUACAAAUGUUGUAAAAUAAACUACCGUUAACCCAAAAAUCUGUCCCAAAAUUAAAUUUUGAAGUUUAAAUUUUGGUUUAUAAGCUAAAGGAUGAACAAUAGGAGUGCUUAUUUUUUUUUCCUUGGACCAGAAAAAUCUCAAGAGGGCCCGAGAUAGCAAGAUCCUGCAGAGAAUCUUGCAUGACCACACAUAGGAGAGUAGAGGAUGUAGUUAUGUUGGAUGCAUGAUCGAAGCACAUGCAACGAUGAUCGACGACGUCGUGGGGUUGACUGUCAUCUUCAAUAUGUUCAUGUGUGUGCAUUCAACCAAGUUGGUGUAAAUGUACGCAUUGUACAGUCUUGAUCUCCAAUAAUACAGAUCUACGGCUGUGUUUAGUUCAGCGCAAAGUUUGGAUUUUGAUUGAAAUUAGAGAUGAUGUGACUGAAAAGUUAUGUGUGUAUGACAGGUUGAUGUGAUGGAAAAGGACUGAAGUUUGGAUCCAAACUUUAGAUCUAAACACAGCCUACAUUUAUUUAAACCCUUCUAAUCCAUAAUUCCCUUUAAGCUUCAGGUCCAGAAGUACAUGUUCCCAAAGGGAAAAAGAUUGAAUUUAAGUACGACCGAUACCUAUAAGAUUGAAUUGAAGUACUAUGCCUAUAUUAAUAACUAUUCCUAGUAGGUAAAACGUACUAGCCUUAAUUAAUUAGACAAUGUCGUCUCAAAUGAAACCACAGUUCAAAUUAAAGAAUGACCAAUCUUCAUACAGUGAUAAUAAUCAAGGCUCAAAGCCAACUCAACCUUUAGAAAAGAAAACUCCUUUUUUGCAAUUUAAAGAACUUCCAAAUAAACUUUUGUGAGGCAAGGAAGUUUAUAUUAAGAAUCAUAUCAAAAUGUUUCCUUUGAUUAUUGCUAGAUCAUAAAGUUUAGGAAAUCACAACAUUAGUAUGUCCCGACCUUGCACAUUCCAUAAAGCGUCCCAACAACAAAAAAAACCCCACCAAUUCAACCAUCAUCCAGCAAAUCAUUGUUUAAAAACAUUCUGGAAUUUUAAAUGUAUGUAAACUACAACGAGCAAAGAGUUUCCUUAAAACAUUCCAACAAUAAAAACCCACCAGUUCAACCAUCAUCCAGGAAAUCAUUGUUUAAAAUAUUCUCACAUUUUAAAUGUAUGUAAGCUCAAACGAGCAAAGGAUUUCCUUCACAGCUAUGCCCGGAAGACAUCAAUUUCACGUCUUAAUAAUAAGAAAUAAGGAUGGGAUCAUUGAUCAUCCUGCACUUCCCUGUGGCCUCCUCUGGCACCUUACACUUCUCAACAAUGAUCCUCUGCAAUCUGGAGCUGCCUCCAGCUAGGGCUGCCACGCCUGCUGGAGUUACCUGAGAGCAGCGGAACACCCCACACGCCUCCAGCUGCAAGCAUCCUCUUGCAAUAUCUUCUAGGCCAACGUCGCUAAUCGCAUCACAGCGAAGCAUCAUGAGAUGUUUCAAUUUUCGGAAUCCUUCACCAACCUUUGCUAGUGUGGUGUCACCAAUUUUCUGAAGAACAGUGCAGGACCAUGAGGGGAAAAAUCAAUGCUUUAAUUGCUAUGCAUGAAGGUAGGAAAACAAACAUGACGAAUUCUAUAAACAAUUUCUGAAAUUAACUAAGACUAGAGGUCAUUUUAGAACAAGAAAAUCAAUAUCUUCUAUCUUAUGAUGUUGAGAGAGAGAGGGGAGACCUUGGUAUCACUUAUAUUCAGAUGGACUAGAUCAUGGCACUCUCUUAUAAUGGUAGUAAGCCCAUAAUCAGUAAUUUGAUUGCACCCACAUAUAUCUAACCUCUCAAGGAAACGACAUUGAUCAACCGUAGCAAGCCCGGUAUCAUUUAACCUGUAAAUGAAAGCCAAAUGUUAGCAGAUCUUUGUCAUAAUAGAUAGAACAAAAGUUUUUAUACUCAACAAAAAAAAUGUUUAGAACAGAAUGAUGUCAGAAUGCUUUGAAGAAAAUGUUAUAAAAUGGAAAAAUUAAUGACAUGCAACUCAACUGUAUACCUUUCACUUUGAACUCAGGAAGUCAAUUUAACUUUUGAUUGGAACUAUCAUCUAAGAAAGGCUAACGAAUUAAAGUUAUCUUUGAUUAGAACAUGUAAAAAAGUGAAUCAUGGAUUCAAGUACUUACCUCCCAAGACCAUGGAGGGUCAACUCUCUAAGUUCUUUACAAUUCUCACCUACAGAUAGUAAUGCUUCAUCCCCGAUCUGCAGAGUAAAACUUCAACUUAAUAUAUACAAGCAAAGUUACAAUGAAAUAAAAUAAAAACAUUUUCUCAUUCCGUAUUCCGGUUUGGGAGCAGCCGAGCAGCAAACUCUGGUGUCGGCUUGCCACAUGUUGGUCUUGGGAUAAACAUUAGCCUAAUUGGCAAAUAUGAAAGACAACUGUAACCUGGCAAAUGCCAGAGUUGACAAAGCAGGAGAACAUUACCACAUCGAAUGAGGGAGAAGGGAUGUGGUUAAGACUCAGGAAAAGAUUCUACUCAGAGUCAUGUGCUAAAUCCUCAUCAACAAAGCCGUUAUGAGACCAUGAUGACUCAGCAUUCCUUCAUCGCUCUUUGGAUCUCUCCCUUCAACAGGAGGGGGGCUCAGGAAAUACUUGUGCUUGUGGACAGAAAAGUUGCUACUUGCUACAAACUGCCAGGGAAUGUGGAGUCGGCAUGUGACAGUUUUGCCUCGCCAAAGGGAUUCUUUGAUUCAUCAGCAAGGAUGACAAAAAUCCUCGUCCAUGAGAUCGGUGGCAUAGUCUAUGACAUCAAGGGCCCUACCCAGCAAUGACUUUUGAUGGUGGCUCCAUGGACACAAUGGCAGGGUCAUCCCCACGACAAUGGCAGGGUCUAUUCUCACAACAGAUGGUGCCAACAAUCCAAUACUGAGAAAUUCAAAAUUUCAAAUAAAGGGAGACUGACUUCAGUUACUCCCUUGGAAAUGUUGAGACUACAAUGAAACUUUGUUACAGGAAAUUUAUGUAAAAAAAAGGACUUCAGGAUCCUCCCCUUGGAGGUGUUUAUGGCUUCCAUAUGUAUAGCCUCUAAAGGGACAAAUAGGCACCUUUCAUCAACAUGCAUCUUUUGUUCAAUGGGCAUGUCUCUUGAGAUUGAACCCGUAUUCCACAUGUACUGUAUUAUUAUUUUGUAUAAUAAUAACAACAAAAAUAAGGAUUUUUAUUCUUAUUAUAUACUUCCUCCGAUCCAAAAUGUAGCUACCUAGUAUAGAAUGGGACAUUACCUAGUACUAUGAAUCUGGACAGGCUCUCCAGAUUCAUAGUACUAGAUAAUGUCCCAUCCUGUACUAGGUAGCUAUAUUUUGGGACGGAGGAAGUAUUGAUUAACAAUGUAAAUUAUAAUACUGGGACAAGUCGUUGAUGAUCACUAUUCAGAUAAAUAUAGUGAUCGUACAAAAGCUGUGAUAUGCAGAAUCACUAUGUGAAGACACAAGGUGCUCUGCAAGAUCACCCUAAGACAAACUAUCAUAGUGAUCUGUAUGACUUAGUGAUAACGUAUCAUCAUUCGUAUGAUCAAAACAAGUGACUGGAGAAAGCAUGCAUUAUUCCUCGCUAGCCAUGCCCAUUUCCCUAUACUGGUACAAAUCCAUCACCUUGAAGUGAUUGGAGACAAAGUCUUGAACAUCGCACCAAAAGAAAAGGAAAAUUGGGCGGGGAGAUGGAAGUAAAAUUUUGGUGGUAUUAAAAUGUACCACAAACUUUUAGUGUUAUAAAUCUGAAGGUAAAUUUUGAUGGUAUAGAUCAUUUUUUUCUUAAAUGUAAAAUCAAUCUUCAUAAAUGUAGAUUAAUACAAACUAGAAAUGUACCUGAGGACAAGAGAUGAUAGAAAGCUCUCUCAAGUUCUUGCAGCCUUGAGCUAUGUGAGAUAUGGCCUCAUCGCUUAUUUUACAACAGUUGGCCAAACAGACAGACUUGAGAAGGAAGCAACAUCGACCAAAUCCGAGAAAUGCAUUAUUGUCAAUCCACAGACUGUUUAGAGUGAGCCCUAGAAGAUUUCUGCGUUUAACAUGUACAAACACAAAAGAAAAAAAAUCAACAGUAUAUUGUGAAGUCUAGCUUGACAGUAGGACAAAGGCAAAAGUAAUUGCUUAGAGUAGUAGCAUGUAUCGCCCAAAACCUAUAUAAUUUAGAAUGACAAAAGCAGCUGAGAACCCAGUUCUUCAAAAUUUGCCCAUAAGAAAAUAACAGAGGCAUAGUAUUAUGAUAUUAUAAAUUACUAAUAUAUUCAAAAAGAGUGAAGGUUCUAGUUUAGAGAAUACGUGUCAUGUGCAUGCUAUGGGAAUUAGGCCUGAUGUGCUAAUCUCGUCACACCAAACCAGGUAAAAAAAAAUCGUUUUUAGACUACUCCGUUGCUAUCUAAGUUAAACAAGGUAAAAUUACACUACUUCAUAAAAUUGUUUUUACUAAAAAACUGUCUGUUCCUUAACCACGAGACUAAUAAGUUUAGGUUUCGACAGCACUUCAAUCAUUAUACCAGUAUAUUGCACACACUGACAUUUGUUAGACAUGUUGAUAAUUUGGGAAAGAGUGAAUUUCACAAAACCACACACCUUUUGACACUUGGCACUUAACUACAUAUAUUUUGAUAUUGAAGUCUCACAAAACUAUACUAUUAACAAAUGGGCCUACCUGUGAGAUGACAUGGAUGUUUAUCUAUACAUAUUUAGGCCGCGAACGUGGCAUUGUUGUUGUUCCACCUAGGAUGAAGUUCCCAAGUCUGCAUCCUAGGUGGAACAACCGCGCCAUCUCGCGAAUGGCCCAUUUCGUUGAUAGUGUAGUUUUGUGAAACUUUAAUACCAAAAUAUAUGUAGUUAAGUGCCAAAUGUCAAAGUAUGUGUAGUUUUCUGCAACUUGGACCAUAAAAUAUGUAGUUAUGUAAAAUUUACUCAUUGGGAAACAUUUGUGGAACACUUAACAGGGGAAACAAGUCCAAUACAUGUCUGGGAAUUGUUGAUUUUGUUCCAACUUUUUAUUUCUCUAAUCAUAGCUGGAUUCAAGAGAAUACGAACAAUUGGACUAACAUUAACCUUCCAUUUUGAGCAAACAUUUGAUAUGCAACUUAGAUUACAGCUGUUGUACAAACAUCAAAAUAACAAGUGGAUUGAAUAGGAAAUGUUGAAACUUUCAGGCUUAUUAAUUAUUUGUUACCGCAUAUUAGCACACCUUCAGUUUUCCUAAUCUCCAAUUUAAUUUAUCACAAAACAACGUGCAUAUUUUGUCAAAAGGAAUACAUUUAGUCCAAACCUCAACGGACUAGCAAAUAAUAAAAGAAAUCCUGUUUAUAUAUGUAUAAAUUGAAAAGUACAAGGUAGGAAGUAUGUUAACAAAAACAAACUUUGUACCAUGUCAAAAUAAAAAUUGCGCGAGUUGCAAUAUGUUAAGUAAUCAAGAAGAAACAUACAUGCAUCGCUGUCCAAUAUGCUCCAAUGCAGCACUUUCCAUAAUAUGGCACAUGUUAAUUUCCAUGUGUUGUAGCAUUUUACAGUUCUGGGAAACACGUUCAAUACUUCUAUCUGUGAAUUUGACCGACGAUUUGAUAAUUAGACUUUUCAGCUGCUUGCAUCCAUUUGCUAUGGAAAAAAGGCUCCUGCAGUAGCAAAUGAUUAGCAGUUGAAUAAAGCCCUAGGACAUCGCUCCAAAGAUAAGGGGCAUUACUGAAAAGAACAACAGAAGUCAAAGAAUGGUCAAUGCUUGCAAUAAGAGAAAAAGGGAACUGAAGUGAAAAUAAGUAGCCAUAUAUUCCUAGAAAAUAUACUACAACAAGGUAAGAAGUGCAAGCAGUAGGCAACUAGUCAUUGAUAAAUAUUUCACAUGUAUAACUUUCAUCAUUUACAGAUCAGUAGAUGCCAACCAUUCAAAUUUGCUAUAAGGUUUUAAACCUCAGUAACCAGUACUCCUUGUUUGAUUACCUUGUAGCAAAGCAUACUUGAAUCAGGCUUGUACUUAGCCUUAUAAGCAGUAUAAUUACAUUUUGGGUUUCUAUAUUGGCAAAUCUAAAAUUUGGUUUAUGGUUUUUUGAUAUUUCAUAGAGAAUUACAGUUGAAAAACAUAAUAAUUUUAAGCAACUAUUUCACAAUUUGCUUAACCUUUAAGAAAUAGUAUCUAAAUCUAGAGAAACUUGUCACAAAUAAAAGGAACACGCAUAUAAGGAAAUAAACACAACUUAGAAAGAAACAAAUUAUUCUAGUCCCGUCUAUGGUUCUUCCCAACUAACAUUGCACUGUGGCGGGAUAAACGGUGUCAAGUAACACAGUACUACUACAGCACAGUCAUGCAUUAGAAGAUGCAUACAUAAAAUGUCUUGACCAAUAUAUCCACUUUGAAUGGACCGUUUCAGGAGAUUACUCUUAAUAUGCUGAUUUUUAGAGAGAACUAACUUGCAAAUAUACAUACCAAUUAAAAAAUUUAACAACAUAUUGUGUGCCAUGUUCAUGUAGGUAUAAAUCUUAAAGUAAGUGGACAUGAGAAAACUAUAGAAAAGAAACUUCGCAUAUAGCAGAUUUCUUGAUGUUUUGAUGGGGAUUGCUUGACUUUCCAUAUAUAGGAAAGGAUAAACUAUAAAUGAUACAGUAGUUCACCAAAGUAGUUGUUGUUCUAACGGUGUCUUACAAGUAAGACCCAUGUGCUGAUAGUUUGUUCAGCACAAUUAUAGGAGUAAUUCCACUAUUUCACAAUAUAUGUUUUUUUCUCGAAAACGCAAGAGAAUUGAGUUUCAUUUCAUUAAGGGGAAGAAAAUAAAAGAAAAAUACAAAGUAGAAGAGACCAAUGCCCUCCUACCGCAAAAAACACACCCACACCCCGGUCAACCCCGGCUAUCUAGCUGCCUAGGUUUGCCGAACCACUAAAAAACUUUUGGCGGGGCAGAUGCUCCCACUAGACACCAAAGAUUACCCUCAUUCCCUACCACCUGCAAGACUGUCGCAGGUGGAAAAAUUUUCAAUAGCUACAUCUUGAUCUCCUCAAUGGAGAAAUACCUUCUUAAGCAAUGCACAAAUAUUGUAGGUGGCUUCUACCUGCAAGAUUACCCUCAUUCCCUACCACCUGCCUUCCACCGUCCUUAAUCAAAGUUUUUGAAAGUUAGGUGGCCGUAUUAUGAAUUUAUUAGGGAGCAGCCAUGGUUUCUUACUCUCUUACCAACUUUUUCUUAGAUUUUGUGCUUCUAGCUGGCUUGUGCGAACUGUGGGCAUUACAAAUAUUUUGAAACAGAAGGAACAAUUGGAUUGGUACUUAUACUAGUAACCACCUUUAUGCUGGUUGGACAUUGAAAGUGUUCCAAAAACUCUCCAAAAAAGUGGAUAUUGGAGCAUUUGCUGAACACAUGUACGCCCGCAAAAUUAUGGGGACAAAUGCUGUCAAACCAGGAAAAGUUACUUAUGAAGUUUACUCUUUUUUUUUGUCAUAAAUAAUAUCCACGAUGAUCAUGAAAAUUUGAAACCAAACAGGGCAAAUAUGCCCCACAAGUGAUUUUUCCCAUAUUUUCAGUAUAUUAUUCACAACCCAACUACAAUAAUAUAUACAAUUACUCCUAAAAGUGAGAAAUCUACAGGUGCAUUAUUGAACUUCUUUUUUUACAAAAAAGAAGUGCAUAUUUCUCUGAAAGUUUGGGAAGGUCCUAAAAAAAGGCAUAAAUUGCACCCUCAAUUUAUCAAUUUCAUAUUUACGCUGAUUUCAUUUUUAUGUAAAACAUUUAUUGAUGUUAACCUUGUACCAUUAUCUUGGCCUAAGAAUUCUAAUCGCACAAAAAAUUAACUUUCCUGUAGUCUGCUUUAAAUAUCCUAUGGUGCCAAAGUUCUCAAGGUGCAGUACUUAGAGAAAACAUAAUUCUUUAUUUACUACUUAACAUGCAAACUUAUACUCAGGUGGUUCACUACUGAAAUUAAGAAAAGAGCAUGUGUUCAAAUCAAUAUAAAAAAAUUAUAAAACAAUUGUUAACAAAUGGUUCAGCAUUUCUACUCUUCAAUUCUAUAAGCAUCACAAUGCAGUAUCAGUAUAAGCUAUAUCAAAUUUCUAAGAGAAAUGAGACACCGAUACUUCCAUCCCUGUAAAAAUGCAACAGUAGAUUUAAUAAUUGGACCUAUUAC
rnacentral:lncRNA from 1 species